GCACAGUAAUGUGAUUCCAAUAGAUCCUUCUGAUACUCCACCGUGGACUCAAUAACAUCUGUUAGGUGA
ensembl:snoRNA SNORD62 Small nucleolar RNA SNORD62